UACAGAGGUGGCAAGCGUUGUUCGGAAUUACUGGGCGUAAAGGGCGCGUAGGCGGCUUGGUCAGUCCCGUGUGAAAUCCCUCGGCUCAACUGAGGAACUGCACGGGAAACUGCCUGGCUUGAGUUCGGGAGAGGGAAGCGGAAUUCCGGGUGUAGCGGUGAAAUGCGUAGAUAUCCGGAGGAACACCGGUGGCGAAGGCGGCAUCCUGGACCGGCAUUGACGCUGAGGAGCGAAAGCCAGGGGAGCAAACGGG
rnacentral:rRNA from 1 species